rnacentral:rRNA from 1 species
CCUACGGGCGGCUGCAGUGGGGAAUAUUGCACAAUGGGCGCAAGCCUGAUGCAGCCAUGCCGCGUGUGUGAAGAAGGCCUUCGGGUUGUAAAGCACUUUCAGCGGGGAGGAAGGCGUUAAGGUUAAUAACCUUGGCGAUUGACGUUACCCGCAGAAGAAGCACCGGCUAACUCCGUGCCAGCAGCCGCGGUAAUACGGAGGGUGCAAGCGUUAAUCGGAAUUACUGGGCGUAAAGCGCACGCAGGCGGUCUGUCAAGUCGGAUGUGAAAUCCCCGGGCUCAACCGGGGAACUGCAUUCGAAACUGGCAGGCUAGAGUCUUGUAGAGGGGGGUAGAAUUCCAGGUGUAGCGGUGAAAUGCGUAGAGAUCUGGAGGAAUACCGGUGGCGAAGGCGGCCCCCUGGACAAAGACUGACGCUCAGGUGCGAAAGCGUGGGGAGCAAACAGGAUUAGAUACCCGAGUAGUC